CUUGGGAGGGGCCAGGGGCAGAAUGAUAGAGUUUGGCUCUAUCCCCACCCAAAUCUCAUCUUGAGUUGUACUCCCGCAAUUCCCGUGUGUUGUGGGAGGGACGCGGUGGGAGAUAAUUGAAUCAUGGGGGUGGCUUCCCCCAUACUGUUCUCAGGGUAGUGAAUAAGUCACACAAGAUCUGAUGGUUUCAUAAGGGGGAGUUUCCUGCUGUCAUCCAUGUAAGACGUGACUUGCUCCUCCUUGCCUUCAUCAUGAUUGUGAGGCUUCUCCAGCAACGUGGAACUGAAGUGACGGCAGCCCUGUGACUGUUAACCCGGAAAACUGCGAGAGGCUUUCCCAUGGAGGGGUCCUCACACCUGGGUUCACCCCUGCCGGAAGACACUGCUGCAUUGUGUGCAGCAGCUGCAAGGCCUGCGUGAUGGAAGGCGAGAGCCCCUGGCCGGCUGCCCUGGU
rnacentral:lncRNA from 10 species